CUCCGCCCGAAAGUUCACCGAUAUUUCUUCAAUAGAGGAAGCAAAAGUCGUAACAAGGUAGCUGUAGGUGAACCUGCAGCUGGAUCAUUUACCGAUAAGAAAAUAUACAACAACCCAGGUAGAGAGUAGUAGAAUACAUCUACUCGGGGAGGCAUGUUUUUUCCGAUAUGCCUUUCCCACACACACAAACACAGCAAUAUCCUUUCGAGACGUCUCGUGGAGCACGGCCCCAACAACGUGUCGCGAUGGAUGACUUGGUAUUUGGCGGGGUGGGUGCGUGUGUGGAUAACGGCUCACAUAACGUGUCGCGAUGGAUGACUUGC
rnacentral:rRNA from 1 species